GUCGCGGGUGAACAAGAGGAAGAAGAUACAUAGGAAUGACAGAGGAAGUUCAGCCGGUUCCAGCUAAGGCUUUGACUUCAGCAACAGCUUGCACUCGUAAAAGGAAGACGGUAGCAGAAAAAGCUGCAACCAAAAAGAAACUGGAAAGUGCAAGAAGCCAAACAAGAGUCAACAUUGGCGUCGCUUUUCAACAAUGGCGGCAACUGAGGAAACAGAAGUGCCUGAAAAGCGACGCAAUGGUGGCUGAAUUUCUGCUAGACAUUUAUGAGAAAGACUCCUCAACUUCCACACCUUCAAAAACACGGAUUGAUGAAACCACCACUUCUGCCCCACCUCCACCAUUUCGUCAGAGUUUCUCCUCCUCGACCGAGAUGAUGACUUCUCAGUAACUGGAAUUGAGAAGUUGGAGAAAAGCAGCGCUCAGGACACAGCUAUAAAGGAAUUGGAUGCAAGAUAUGGCAAGGAGGUGUACAACGAGAAGAGGAGCUUGUACACAAUCAUGGCAGACAAGGGCUACCACUACAUCCAAGACCUCUGCACAGAGGGCUGGUUGCCUCUAAGGAGCCUCAGCGCAGAACCAUGAGGCUGGAUGAUCCUCGUCAGCAUGGCCUUCUGCCAGGUGACACUGCCCCAACCACCCAGGAGCUGUUGCAGAAGCAAGUCAGCAGAGGGCUAGGACAGUCACUGCCAAAGCAGAAGAAGAUUGCCACAGCGCCCACAUGAUGCCACAUGCAGAGCCUCCCUGACCCGUCAGGCUACACUCAUCUCUGCUUAUGAUCAAAAGUAAAUAUAUUGUGUAUAUAUCUUCUAGUAUUUCAGUAAUGUCAUAUAUAAUUUCCCCUAAAAAUACA